GACGAACGCUGGCGGCGUGCCUAAUACAUGCAAGUAGAACGCUGAAGGAGGAGCUUGCUUCUCUGGAUGAGUUGCGAACGGGUGAGUAACGCGUAGGUAACCUGCCUGGUAGCGGGGGAUAACUAUUGGAAACGAUAGCUAAUACCGCAUAAGAGUAGAUGUUGCAUGACAUUUGCUUAAAAGGUGCAAUUGCAUCACUACCAGAUGGACCUGCGUUGUAUUAGCUAGUUGGUGAGGUAACGGCUCACCAAGGCAACGAUACAUAGCCGACCUGAGAGGGGGAUCGGCCACACUGGGACUGAGACACGGCCCAGACUCCUUCGGGAGGCAGCAGUAGGGAAUCGUCGGCAAUGGACGGAAGUCUGACCGAGCAACGCCGCGGGAGUGAAGAAGGUUUUCGGAUCGUAAAGCUCGGUUGUAAGAGAAGAACGAGUGUGAGAGUGGAAAGUUCACACUGUGACGGUAUCUUAUCAGAAAGCGACGGCUAACUACGUG
rnacentral:rRNA from 1 species